UGCGUAGGCGGAAUAUUAAGUCAGUGGUGAAAUCCUGCGGCUCAACCGUAGAACUGCCAUUGAUACUGAUAUUCUUGAAUGUAGUUGAGGUAGGCGGAAUGUGUAAUGUAGCGGUGAAAUGCUUAGAUAUUACACAGAACACCGAUUGCGAAGGCAGCUUACUAAACUAUGAUUGACGCUGAUGCACGAAAGCGUGGGGAGCGAACAGGAUUAGAUACCAUGGUAGUCC
rnacentral:rRNA from 1 species